CCCCUCCCGCUCCUGGGCUUGGUGAUGUCCGGGUAUUGGGGGCAGGGAUUAAUAUUGGGCUGGACGUUUUUUGCUUGAGAACCGUCUAAAAAGAUUUCGAAAAAAACUGCGUGACCUUUAUACAUUUUUAGCUGAUAUCUAAACUUAAAGGUACCUCUUGUCCAACAGGAUACGGUAUAUGCUCAACCAUUGCACACUAGAUCAGGACCUUAUCAAGAUUGACUACACUCAAAGAUCCUGAAUUUGGGCUGGAUGUGACUUUGAGUUUUCGCCUCCCACUGCAUAGGGAUCAAGCACAUUUUCAACUGCAUAAGGAAGACAAUGUUCGCUAGCAGUUAACAAAGCUGACAUAGGAAGAGAAGCAGAGACAGAAGAUGGAAGAAAUAAGAUGGAAAGGCUCAACAGUUUAAAGAAGUCGAUCCUCCUCAUAUGCAUUCAAAGAAAAGAUGUGUCAGACAAAAAGAAGAAGAAGAAGAAGAAGAAGAAGAAGAAGAAGAAGAAGAAGAAGAAGAAGAAGAAGAAGAAGAAGAAGAAGAAGAAGAAGAAGAAGAAGAAGCAGCAGCAGCAGCAGCAGCAGAAGCUGAUUACCAGCGGGUUUUCUCAAAGGGCACUGCAUUUUCAGCCUGAUGCCUGGAAUUUCUUGGCCCAUCAAAAAAAAAAAUAAUUAGUCUCUUGGUGAGAAAUUCAGGCUGAGUUAGUGAGAAGAGUGAUGAUUUUCUAAUCAGAUGGUCCCAGGUUCAUAUUUUUAGAUCCAUCACUUACUAGCUAUGUGUUCUUGGACUUCAGUUUCCCAUAUGUUAAAAUAGAAAGAAUAAAACCAUGUACUUACAUAUGGCUUGUUUAAUAUAGUGGCUAUUAUAGCAUCCUACAUCAGGAUGUUUGUAAGCAUCUAUUCUAGAACACGUCUCAAUAAUUUUUGUUGUUGUUCCCUUGGGAUUCUUUGAUGAUGGUGAUGGUAAUAGAGAAAUCCUGAGAUUUAAGUACUUUGGAAGUUGAUUUACA